UACCAUCAACUGACGGUGCAGUAGUAGUAGUAUUAGAAAUGCUUGAUUGCGUGUUAGGCGUAAGCUUUGUAUCUGCUAACAUUUACAUUAGUUUUAGGUGCUGCUUGAGCAAUAAUUCUACUUUUGAAGUAUCCGUGUUUGUUCCGACUCCGUCGCCGAACUAGCUAGGUUUGAAGCGGUUACGAGUCCGAGUUUCGAAGACGAUCAGAUACCGUCGUAGUUCUGACCAUAAACAAUGCCACCUGACGAUCCGCGUUGGUUCUAUAAUUGACAUCGCGGGCAGUCCCCGGGAAACCUUUAAGUCUUUGGGCUCCGGAGGGAGUAUGGCUGCAAAGCUGAAACUUAAAGGAAUUGACGGAAGGGCACCACCAGGAGUGGAGCCUGCGGUUUAAUUCGAUUCAGCACGGGAAAACUCACCCGGCCCGGACACUGUGAGGAUUGACAGCUCUUUCUUGAUUCGGUGGGUGGUGGUGCAUGGCCGUUCUUAGUUGGUGGAGCGAUUUGUCUGGUUAAUUCCGAUGACGAACGAGACUUUAACCUGCUAAAUAGUAGACUGGUCCUCUGUGCUCGUUUAGGGCGCGGCUUCUAUUGCUUCUUUAUGGAGUAGUGUGGUCGUGAUCCGGCGGGUGCGGUGCCAGUUUUUACUUCUUAGAGGGACAAGCGGCACACUUAAGUCGCACGAAAUUGAGCAAUAACAGGUCUGUGAUGCCCUUAGAUGUCCGGGGCCACACGUGCGCUACAAUGGCGGUGCCAACGAGUCUGGGAACCUGGCCCGAAAGGGUGNNNNNNNNNNAACUGUUUCAUCACCGUCGUGACUGGGAUCGGGGCUUGCAAUUAUUCCCCGUGAACGAGGAAUUCCUGGUAAGUGCAAUUCAUUAGCUUGCGCUGAUUACGUCCCUGCCCUUUGUACACACCGCCCGUUGCUACUACCGAUUGAAUGGUUUAGUGAGGUCGUUGCCGCUCGACUUGAUGAUGAUCUAAUUUGACUAUUUAGAGGAAGUAAAAGUCGUAACAAGGUUUCCGUAAGUGAACCUGCGGAAGGAUCAUUA
rnacentral:ncRNA from 1 species